rnacentral:rRNA from 1 species
UCCAACCUACGGGGGGCAGCAGUGGGGGAUAUUGCACAAUGGGGGGAACCCUGAUGCAGCGACGCCGCGUGGGUGAAGAAGCGUUUCGGCGCGUAAAGCCCUGUCAGCAGGGAAGAAGAUGACGGUACCUGACCAAGAAGCCCCGGCUAACUACGUGCCAGCAGCCGCGGUACUACGUAGGGGGCAAGCGUUAUCCGGAUUUACUGGGUGUAAAGGGGGCGCAGACGGCGAUGCAAGCCAGGAGUGAA